GACGAGUGGCGGACGGUGAGUAAUACCUAGGAAACUGACCUAAACGGAGGGGGAUAACAUUUAGGAAACGAGUGCUAAUACCGCAUAAUACUGAGAAGUCAAAGGUUUGGUUUUACCAAUCGCGUUUAGAUGUGCCUAGGAGGGAUUAGCUAGUAGGUGAGGUAAAGGCUCACCUAGGCGACGAUCUCUAGCUGGUCUGAGAGGAUGAUCAGCCACAUUGGGACUGAGACACGGCCCAGACUCCUACGGGAGGCAGCAGUAGGGAAUAUUGCACAAUGGAGGAAACUCUGAUGCAGCCAUGCCGCGUGUGUGAAGAAGGCCUUCGGGUUGUAAAGCACUUUCGGAGGGGAGGAAAAGAUGACGUUACCCUCAGAAGAAGCACCGGCUAACUCCGUG
rnacentral:rRNA from 1 species